rnacentral:rRNA from 1 species
GACGAACGCUGGCGGCGUGCUUAACACAUGCAAGUCGAACGCUGAAGCCCUUUCGGGGGUGGAUGAGUGGCGAACGGGUGAGUAACACGUGGGUAAUCUGCCCUGCACUCUGGGAUAAGCCUUGGAAACGGGGUCUAAUACCGGAUAGGACACAUCGCCGCAUGGUGUGUGUGUGGAAAGUUCCGGCGGUGCAGGUUGAGCCCGCGGCCUAUCAGCUUGUUGGUGGGGUGAUGGCCUACCAAGGCGACGACGGGUAGCCGGCCUGAGAGGGUGGCCGGCCACGCUGGGACUGAGACACGGCACAGACUCCUACGGGAGGCAGCAGUGGGGAAGCUUGCGCAAUGGGCGAAAGCCUGACGCAGCAACGCCGCGUGGGGGAUGACGGCCUUCGGGUUGUAAACCUCUUUCGACCGGGACGAAGGGUGACUGACGGUACCGGUAGAAGAAGCACCGGCUAACUACGUGCCAGCAGCCGCCGUAA